CGAUCAGCCACACUGGGACUGAGACACGGCCCAGACUCCUACGGGAGGCAGCAGUGGGGAAUCUUGCGCAAUGGGCGAAAGCCUGACGCAGCAACGCCGCGUGUGGGACGAAGGCCUUCUGGGUUGUAAACCACUUUCAGCAGGGACGAUUGUGACGGUACCUGCAGAAGAAGCCCCGGCCAACUACGUGCCAGCAGCCGCGGUAAUACGUAGGGGGCAAGCGUUAUCCGGAUUCAUUGGGCGUAAAGCGCGCGUAGGUGGAUCGUUAAGUCAGAUGUGAAAACCGGGGGCUCAACCCGCGGCCUGCAUCUGAAACUGGCGGUCUUGAGUCUGGUAGAGGAAAGUGGAAUUCCCAGUGUAGCGGUGAAAUGCGCAGAUAUUGGGAGGAACACCAGUGGCGAAGGCGGCUUUCUGGGCCACGACUGACGCUGAUGCGCGAAAGCUAGGGGAGCAAACAGGAUUAGAUACCCUGGUAGUCCUAGCAGUAAACGAUGGGCACUAGGUGUGGGGGGUCAUCAACUCCCUCCGUGCCGCAGCUAACGCAUUAAGUGCCCCGCCUGGGGAGUACGACCGCAAGGUUAAA
rnacentral:rRNA from 1 species